UUAAUGCUGCAUAUUAUUCCAUUAUGCAGAUAGAUAUAACAAUUGACUUCAGCAGUUCUCCAUUGAUGGACAUUUAAGUUGUUUCCAGUUGUUUGUUAUUAUUUUUUAAAUUCUGCAGCAAAUAACCUCUUGUACAUAUGUCAUUUUGCAAAUGUGGGCAUAUUUCUGAAGUUAGCACUUCUUGCCUUGAUUAUCCUAAUAGCCUCCUAACCUGUUUCUUUUUCCUUAUUCUCAUUCAUCUGUAAUUGCUGUGCUGGCUUAAACGCUUUUAAAAAGUAUUUAUUUGAUGACAUUUUAAUUUUUUCCCUACACAGCUGAGGGGCGUAGAGUAACUCCUUCACUCCUGGGAUUCAGUACCAUUCCCUCAGCUGGCAUACGAAGCCUCGUAGUUACUUGUUAGGUGCUUAAGUUCCCAGAAGGACAUGGGAGGAUUAAGACACUGUUAAAUUCAUGGGAGUGUUCUCAAAUAUAAUUUAAACUAAAAAUAGAAGCAAUUUAGUAAUAUUUCCCCUGUUUUGCAGAGAUAUUGCUUAGGCUAAUUCUAACAUUUGUUUGCCAUUUUAGAGUUGGUAUGUUACUUAUGCUUAUGUCUGGAAGUUUGGUUUCUGACAUGUUUCCUUCAGUUACCAAUGAUGAAGAUUCAGAGUAGAUGGUUACUUAUAGAAAGUGACAUGAUGUGAUUUUUACAGAGUCUCCAAAAAGCCUAGGGAAAUGAAAGGAAAGAAAAGCAAAAAGAUUUCUCUGAAAUAUACAGCAGCAAGACUACAUGAAAAAGGAGUUCUUCUGGAAAUUGAGGACCUGCAAGUGAAUCAGUUUAAAAAUGUUAUAUUUGAAAUCAGUCCAACAGAAGAAGUUGGAGACUUCGAAGUGAAAGCCAAAUUCAUGGGAGUUCAAAUGGAGACUUUUAUGUUACAUUAUCAGGACCUGCUGCAGCUACAGUAUGAAGGAGUUGCAGUCAUGAAAUUAUUUGAUAGAGCUAAAGUAAAUGUCAACCUCCUGAUCUUCCUUCUCAACAAAAAGUUCUACGGGAAGUAAUUGAUCGUUUGCUGCCAGCCCAGAAGGAUGAAGGAAAGAAGCACCUCACAGCUCCUUUCUAGGUCCUUCUUUACUCAUUGGAAGCAAAGACCUAGCCAACAACAGCGCCUCAAUCUGAUACACUCCCGAUGCCACAUUUUUAACUCCUCUCGCUCUGAUGGGACAUUUGUUACCCUUUUUUCAUAGUGAAAUUGUGUUUCAGGCUUAGUCUGACCUUUCUGGUUUCUUCAUUUUCUUCCAUUACUUAGGAAAGAGUGGAAACUCCACUAAAAUUUCUCUGUGUUGUUACAGUCUUAGAGGUUGCGUUACUAUAUUGUAAGCUUUGGUGUUUGUUUAAUUAGCAAUAGGGAUGGUAGGAUUCAAAUGUGUGUCAUUUAGAAGUGGAAGCUAUUAGCACCAAUGACAUAUAAAUACAUACAAGACACACAACUAAAAUGUCAUGUUAUUAACAGUUAUUAGGUUGUCAUUUAAAAAUAAAGUUCCUUUAUAUUUCUGUCCCAUCGGGAAAACUGAAGGAUAUGGGGAAUCAUUGGUUAUCUUCCAUUGUGUUUUUCUUUAUGGACAGGAGCUAAUGGAAGUAACAGUCAUGUUCAAAGGAAGCAUUUCUAGAAAAAAGGAGAUAAUGUUUUUAAAUUUCAUUAUCAAACUUGGGCAAUUCUGUUUGUGUAACUCCCCAACUAGUGGAUGGGAGAUUCCCAUUGCUAAAAUUCAGCUACUCAGAUAAAUUCAGAAUGGGUCAAGGCACCUGCCUGUUUGUGUUGGUGCACAGAGAUUGACUUGAUUCAGAGAGACAAUUCACUCCAUCCCUAUGGCAGAGGAAUGGGUUAGCCCUAAUGUAGAAUGUCAUUGUUUUUAAAACUGUUUUAUAUCUUAAGAGUGCCUUAUUAAAGUAUAGAUGUAUGUCUUAAAAUGUGGGUGAUAGGAAUUUUAAAGAUUUAUAUAAUGCAUCAAAAGCCUUAGAAUAAAAGCUUUUUUUAAAUUGGUUUAUCUGUAUAUCUGAACUCUUGAAACUUAUAGCUAAAACACUAGGAUUUAUCUGCAGUGUUGCAGGGAGAUAAUUCUGCCUUAAAUUGUCUAAAACAAAAACAAAACCAGCCAACCUAUGUUACACGUGAGAUUAAAACCAAUUUUUUUCCCAUUUUUUCUCCUUUUUUCUCUUGCUGCCCACAUUGUGCCUUUAUUUUAUGAGCCCCAGUUUUCUGGGCUUAGUUUAAAAAAAAAAGUCUAAACAUUGCAUUUAGAAAGCUUUUGUUCUUGGAUAAAAAGUCAUACACUUU
rnacentral:sRNA from 1 species